rnacentral:rRNA from 1 species
UACGUAGGGUGCAAGCGUUAAUCGGAAUUACUGGGCGUAAAGCGUGCGCAGGCGGUUCGGAAAGAAAGAUGUGAAAUCCCAGGGCUUAACCUUGGAACUGCAUUUUUAACUGCCGGGCUAGAGUAUGUCAGAGGGGGGUAGAAUUCCACGUGUAGCAGUGAAAUGCGUAGAGAUGUGGAGGAAUACCGAUGGCGAAGGCAGCCCCCUGGGAUAAUACUGACGCUCAUGCACGAA